AAGUCGUAACAAGGUUUCCGUAGGUGAACCUGCGGAAGGAUCAUUCACAAUAUCCUCUUUUUUUUUCAUUUUUCGUUUUCUUGUUUUGUGAUGAAACAAUGAACAAUGAACAAAUGAAGGGUGACAACAAAGCCCAAAUUUAUGUGUACUGUACUCAGGGUUGAUAUCAAUUCUUCCCUGAUUUCAUUCAUCUGCUCGUAAAUAAAAUAACGAAUUAAAUGGGAAAAAUGGAAGGCAAAUAUAAUAAAUCGUUAUUUUGGCAUUUUAGAAUGACAAUGUAUGAAAAUAUUUAUAAAUAUAAAUAUAACUUUCAACAAUGGAUCUCUUGGCUCUC
rnacentral:misc_RNA from 1 species